rnacentral:rRNA from 1 species
GAUGAACGCUGGCGGCGUGCCUAAUACAUGCAAGUCGAGCGAACGGACGAGAAGCUUGCUUUUCUGAUGUUAGCGGCGGACGGGUGAGUAACACGUGGAUAACCUACCUAUAAGACUGGGAUAACUUCGGGAAACCGGAGCUAAUACCGGAUAAUAUUUUGAACCGCAUGGUUCAAAAGUGAAAGACGGUCUUGCUGUCACUUAUAGAUGGAUCCGCGCUGCAUUAGCUAGUUGGUAAGGUAACGGCUUACCAAGGCAACGAUGCAUAGCCGACCUGAGAGGGUGAUCGGCCACACUGGAACUGAGACACGGUCCAGACUCCUACGGGAGGCAGCAGUAGGGAAUCUUCCGCAAUGGGCGAAAGCCUGACGGAGNCACGCCGCGUGAGUGAUGAAGGUCUUCGGAUCGUAAAACUCUGUUAUUAGGGAAGAACAUAUGUGUAAGUAACUGUGCACAUCUUGACGGUACCUAAUCAGAAAGCCACGGCUAACUACGUGCCAGCAGCCGCGGUAAUACGUAAGUGGCAAGCGUUAUCCGGGAUUAUUGGGCGUAAAGCGCGCGUAGCGGUUUUUUAGUCUGAUGUGAAAGCCCACGGCUCAACCGUGGAGGGUCAUUGGAAACUGGAAAACUUGAGUGCAGAAGAGGAAAGUGGAAUUCCAUGUGUAGCGGUGAAAUGCGCAGAGAUAUGGAGGAACACCAGUGGCGAAGGCGACUUUCUGGUCUGUAACUGACGCUGAUGUGCGAAAGCGUGGGGAUCAAACAGGAUUAGAUACCCUGGUAGUCCACGCCGUAAACGAUGAGUGCUAAGUGUUAGGGGGUUUCCGCCCCUUAGUGCUGCAGCUAACGCAUUAAGCACUCCGCCUGGGGAGUACGACCGCAAGGUUGAAACUCAAAGGAAUUGACGGGGACCCGCACAAGCGGUGGAGCAUGUGGUUUAAUUCGAAGCAACGCGAAGAACCUUACCAAAUCUUGACAUCCUUUGACAACUCUAGAGAUAGAGCCUUCCCCUUCGGGGGACAAAGUGACAGGUGGUGCAUGGUUGUCGUCAGCUCGUGUCGUGAGAUGUUGGGUUAAGUCCCGCAACGAGCGCAACCCUUAAGCUUAGUUGCCAUCAUUAAGUUGGGCACUCUAAGUUGACUGCCGGUGACAAACCGGAGGAAGGUGGGGAUGACGUCAAAUCAUCAUGCCCCUUAUGAUUUGGGCUACACACGUGCUACAAUGGACAAUACAAAGGGCAGCGAAACCGCGAGGUCAAGCAAAUCCCAUAAAGUUGUUCUCAGUUCGGAUUGUAGUCUGCAACUCGACUACAUGAAGCUGGAAUCGCUAGUAAUCGUAGAUCAGCAUGCUACGGUGAAUACGUUCCCGGGUCU